UUUGAACGCUGGCGGCAGGCCUAACACAUGCAAGUCGAGCGCGCGGCAGACGGGUGAGUAAUGCCUGGGAAUUGCCCAGUCGGGGGGGACAUCAGUUGGAAACGACUGCUAAUCCCGCAUACGAUCAGAUUGCCCAGGUGGGAUGAGCUAGUUGGUGAGGUAAUGGCUCCCCAAGGCGUCGAUACCUAGCUGGUCUGAGAGGAGGACCAGCCACACGGGGACUGAGACACGGGCCGGACUUCUACGUGAGGCAGAAGAGGGGAAGAUUGCCAAAUGGGGGCAACCCUGAUGCAGCCAUGCCGCGUGUGUGAAGAAGGCCUUCGGGUUGUAAAGCACUUUCACCGAUUAGGCGUUACUCGCAGAAGAAGCACCGGCUAACUCCGUGCCAGCAGCCGCGGUAAUUC
rnacentral:rRNA from 1 species